rnacentral:rRNA from 1 species
CAGCCGCCACGGUAAUACGAAGGGGGCUAGCGUUGUUCGGAUUUACUGGGCGUAAAGCGCACGUAGGCGGAUUCUUAAGUCAGAGGUGAAAUCCCAAGGCUCAACCUUGGAACUGCCUUUGAUACUGGGGAUCUCGAGUUCGGGAGAGGUGAGUGGAACUGCGAGUGUAGAGGUGAAAUUCGUAGAUAUUCGCAAGAACACCAGUGGCGAAGGCGGCUCACUGGCCCGAUACUGACGCUGAGGUGCGAAAGCGUGGGGAGCAAACAGGAUUAGAUACCCCCGUAGUCCCUGUCUCUUAUAA